rnacentral:piRNA from 1 species
UGUAAUGUCAAUAGUGACAGGGUCUGAGAAU